UGGGGAAUUUUGGACAAUGGGGGAAACCCGUGAUCCAGCCAUCCCGCGUGUGCGAUGAAGGCCUUCGGGUUGUAAAGCACUUUUGGCAGGAAAGAAACGUCGCGGGUUAAUACCCCGCGAAACUGACGGUACCUGCAGAAUAAGCACCGGCUAACUACGUGCCAGCAGCCGCGGUAAUACGUAGGGUGCAAGCGUUAAUCGGAAUUACUGGGCGUAAAGCGUGCGCAGGCGGUUCGGAAAGAAAGAUGUGAAAUCCCAGAGCUUAACUUUGGAACUGCAUUUUUAACUACCGGGCUAGAGUGUGUCAGAGGGAGGUGGAAUUCCGCGUGUAGCAGUGAAAUGCGUAGAUAUGCGGAGGAACACCGAUGGCGAAGGCAGCCUCCUGGGAUAACACUGACGCUCAUGCACGAAAGCGUGGGGAGCAAACAGGAUUAGAUACCCUGGUAGUCCACGCCCUAAACGAUGUCAACUAGCUGUUGGGGCCUUCGGGCCUUGGUAGCGCAGCUAACGCGUGAAGUUGACCGCCUGGGGAGUACGGUCGC
rnacentral:rRNA from 1 species